AUUGAACGCUGGCGGCAGGCCUAACACAUGCAAGUCGAGCGGUAGAGAGAAGCUUGCUUCUCUUGAGAGCGGCGGACGGGUGAGUAAUGCCUAGGAAUCUGCCUGGUAGUGGGGGAUAACGUUCGGAAACGGACGCUAAUACCGCAUACGUCCUACGGGAGAAAGCAGGGGACCUUCGGGCCUUGCGCUAUCAGAUGAGCCUAGGUCGGAUUAGCUAGUUGGUGAGGUAAUGGCUCACCAAGGCGACGACCCGUAACUGGUCUGAGAGGAUGACCAGCCACACUGGAACUGAGCCACGGUCCAGACUCCUACGGGAGGCAGCAGUGGGGAAUAUUGUACAAUGGGCGAAAGCCUGAUCCAGCCAUGCCGCGUGUGUGAAGAAGGUCUUCGGAUUGUAAAGCACUUUAAGUUGGGAGGAAGGGUUGUAGAUUAAUACUCUGCAAUUUUGACGUUACCGACAGAAUAAGCACCGGCUAACUCUGUGCCAGCCGCCGCGGUAA
rnacentral:rRNA from 1 species